ensembl:lncRNA
AACCUUCGCUGCUAAGUUGGCAGACAUAUCAGCGGUGUUAUUAAAAAUAUCCGUCUUUAUCUUACUUGUGAACAACCUCAACCGUUUGCGUAUUUGGGAAACGUCUGCUCAAAGAUGGGCAACAAAUCUGUCGUCUGUUAAGGCGAGACUCACGGGUUCUGAAUCUAUCUCGGAAUGUGCCUACUGUGCUCCCAGAGAGUUUGGUGACGUCCGCUUUGUAUCCCUGCACUGCAAAUGGCUGUAGGGUCAUUCAGUGAACAGGUACGGGAGAGCCGUGUGGAGCUUGUGGAAGAUUGGAGCAAACAUGUGAUGUCUCUUCUGGAGCUACUUUUCCAAGCUGAUGUUCUUACUGAAGAGGAUGUGAGCCUGGUAAGAGGUGGAGGGUGUUUAGGAG